CAACACUCGUAUGCCGCCGCGUUUAACGGCGCUUUAACGGUAACGCCAACCGCCUAAAUUACGCUUUUCCCGUAAUAUAAUACGACUGUUAAAUAAACAAGUUUAAUUUCGUUUCCGUGAUUAGUAAAUGAAACACAACUAGGGUGAACAAAAAAAAACUAAAUGUAUACCUACUACGUCAGUAAUCGACAGUGAUUCCAAAAUUAUUCAGACGAUGAUUAUGAAAGAAAUAAUUAAAAGGAGACACGAGUGCGUGUUACAGUGUGUAUAAAAAAUAAGAUACGUAAUGAAUAAGUGGUCCUCUGUGUGGUUGUAGAGUUCCAAUAAGGUGUUUUGUACAAAGCAUAACUCUUAACACGUGGCUCGCACUUGGACACGAUGGGACCAGCUUCACGCGCGCUCAAACGUUGGAACGAAUAUCAGCGGCGCUCAGCCGACGGAACCAUCUUCUAUAGUGACUGCCUGUCAUGUUACCACAUUACACAGCCGCCACAUGUCCCCAUUAGUGGUAACAUGUGUCAAGAUGAAGCUACU
rnacentral:lncRNA from 1 species